UACGUAGGGGGCAAGCGUUGUCCGGAUUCAUUGGGCGUAAAGAGCGUGUAGGCGGCCAGGUAGGUCGGUUGUGAAAACUGGAGGCUCAACCUUCAGACGUCGACCGAAACCAUCUGGCUAGAGUCCGGGAGAGGAGAGUGGAAUUCCUGGUGUAGCGGUGGAAUGCGCAGAUAUCAGGAGGAACACCAAUAGCGAAGGCAGCUCGCUGGGACGUUACUGACACUGAGGCGCGAAAGCGUGGGGAGCAAACGGG
rnacentral:rRNA from 1 species